rnacentral:rRNA from 1 species
CAGCCGCCGCGGGAAUACAGAGGGUGCAAGCGUUAAUCGGAAUUACUGGGCGUAAAGCGCGCGUAGGUGGUUUGUUAAGUUGGAUGUGAAAUCCCCGGGCUCAACCUGGGAACUGCAUUCAAAACUGACUGACUAGAGUAUGGUAGAGGGUGGUGGAAUUUCCUGUGUAGCGGUGAAAUGCGUAGAUAUAGGAAGGAACACCAGUGGCGAAGGCGACCACCUGGGCUAAUACUGACACUGAGGCGCGAAAGCGUGGGGAGCAAACAGGAUUAGAUACCCGUGUAGUCCCUGUCUCUUAUAC